UACGUAGGGUGCGAGCGUUAAUCGGAAUUACUGGGCGUAAAGUGUGCGCAGGCGGCAGAGCAAGUCGAGUGUGAAAGCCCCGGGCUUAACUUGGGAAUUGCGCUCGAAACUACUUUGCUGGAGUGUGGCAGAGGAAGGUGGAAUUCCACGUGUAGCGGUGAAAUGCGUAGAGAUGUGGAGGAACACCAAUGGCGAAGGCAGCCUUCUGGGCCAACACUGACGCUGAUGCACGAAAGCGUGGGGAGCAAACAGG
rnacentral:rRNA from 1 species